UACGGGGGGGGCAAGCGUUGUUCGGAAUUACUGGGCGUAAAGGGCUCGUAGGUGGCCAACUAAGUCAGACGUGAAAUCCCUCGGCUUAACCGGGGAACUGCGUCUGAUACUGGAUGGCUUGAGUUCGGGAGAGGGAUGCGGAAUUCCAGGUGUAGCGGUGAAAUGCGUAGAUAUCUGGAGGAACACCGGUGGCGAAGGCGGCUUCCUGGACCGACACUGACGCUGAGGCGCGAAAGCCAGGGGAGCAAACGGG
rnacentral:rRNA from 1 species